GCUGAAGCAGCCGAAGAAGCAGACGAAGGACCUGGACGAGACAGAUCUGGCAUUUAAACAAAAGCAGAAGGAGGAGCAAAAGAAACUUGAGGAGAUGAAAGCAAAGGCUGCUGGAAAAGGGCCCCUCACCAGUGGCGGAAUAAAGAAGUCUGGCAAAAAG
rnacentral:lncRNA from 1 species